GGCCGACUAGCUCAGUUGGUUAGAGCGUCGUGCUAAUAUAGUACGUGAUUGCGGCGAUAUUAACGCGAAGGUCUUGGGUUCGAUCCCCACGUUGGCCA